rnacentral:tRNA from 1 species
GGCCCCGUAGCUCAGCUGCAUAGAGCAAGGCUUUCCUAAAGCCGGGUCGCAGGUUGGAGUCCUGCCGGGGUCGCCA